rnacentral:rRNA from 1 species
UACGUAGGGUGCGAGCGUUAAUCGGAAUUACUGGGCGUAAAGCGUGCGCAGGCGGUUUGCUAAGACAGGUGUGAAAUCCCCGGGCUUAACCUGGGAACUGCGCUUGUGACUGGCAGGCUAGAGUACGGCAGAGGGGGGUGGAAUUCCUGGUGUAGCAGUGAAAUGCGUAGAUAUCAGGAGGAACACCGAUGGCGAAGGCAGCCUUCCAAGCCGUUAUUGACGCUCAACUGCGAAGGUGUGGGUAUCAAACAGGAUUAGAUACCCCU